rnacentral:rRNA from 1 species
CCUACGGGGGACAGCAGUGGGGAAUAUUGCACAAUGGGGGAAACCCUGAUGCAGCGACGCCGCGUGAGUGAGGAAGUAUUUCGGUAUGUAAAGCUCUAUCAGCAGGGAAGAAAAUGACGGUACCUGACUAAGAAGCCCCGGCUAACUACGUGCCAGCAGCCGCGGUAAUACGUAGGGGGCGAGCGUUAUCCGGAUUCACUGGGUGUAAAGGGAGCGUAGACGGCCAUGCAAGCCAGGGGUGAAAGCCCGGGGCCCAACCCCGGGACUGCCCGUGGAACUGCAUGGCUGGAGAGCGGGAGGGGAAGGCGGAGUUCCUGGUGUAGCGGUGAAAUGCGUAGAUAUCAGGAGGAACACCGGCGGCGAAGGCGGCCUGCUGGACCGCGACUGACGUUGAGGCUCGAAAGCGUGGGGAGCGAACAGGAUUAGAUACCCUAGUAGU